UGCUGGAGCACUGGAAACAACAGUGCCUUCCCAAACUCUGACCACUGAAAACUACCAUGUGAAAUACUGAACAAAUGACCGAACAACAUUAUUAUCAUCAAAUGCCUAGGGAAAAAAAAAUCACGUGUCAGAAUUUAGCCCUAGGUCUGGUCUUUUAAACGCUACUACAAAUAUGCUAUUUAGAGAAUAUUAGAUAUCAAAAAGAUAAAACAGUAGUCUCAGCAAAAAGAAAGGCAUGAAUAUGGAAAGGAGUUGUCCCUACAGCAUGCACACUGAUUCUUUCCAUUAAAGUCCAACUUCUACAGCUUCCAACCCCAGUGCUAAAGGGACAGGACACGCCCAUUUCUUUCUAAUGAGGAUUUUAAGGGAGCUUAUAGUGUUCAUACAUAUGUAACUGUGUCAAGAUCAUCAAAUUCCUUUGUAACAAAGUCAAACAAAAUCCAGGUGUUUGAUCUCGGGCACUUUGGAAGAGUGUGCCCAGCUGGGGCAAGGACUUCCCAGGAUACAUCUCCCACUUAACCCUAAAGGAAGCCCUAUCAUAUUGAAGAUGUAACAGUGCCCUGUGUCUUUCACAAUCAUUAUUUUAAGAAGCAAUCACACACUGGGACAUAUUUCUGUUCCAAUUUGCUCAAUCAAGUGUACAAUGCUGGGGGAGGGGCUUUAAUGAACACUACCAUAGUGAAAUAUUUAUCAGUAAUUGAUUUGGUGAUGGUACAUCAUUUAACAUUUUCAAUAUUGAACUUAGACAUGUCCUUGAACAAAUCUCAAAUAGUAAUAACAUCCUUAUGUACACAUUACCAAUGUAUACAGAGGGAUUUCUGUUGUUGGCAAAGAAGAAUAAAGACUACAAACUCCAUGUUGAUAUUGCAUCAUUAUUAGCAACAGAACACAUAACUAUAAUUACCUUUUUAAGUAUCUGGAUUUGGCCAAAGUAUGACUGUUCAUAUUUUCACCUUUCAAGAAACACCAAGCCUUCAAACAGUUUAAGAACUAGCCUCUGGGCUUAUCAGAAAGGGAAGCGCCUCACAUAGCAUAUGCAAUGGCAGAACUCUUCUUGAUUCUGCAAGAUCUAAUUUUAACUGUUAUGAAAUAUAGUAAGGCUAACAGGAAAAAUAUAUCUAAGGACUGACAGAAAAGUCAUUUUCCCUGUGUGUGUGGUUCUGUACAAAACACUAUUACAUACUAAGCACAAGAGUUGGUGGUUCUGGCAAGGAAAGGAGUGAGGGAGGGAAAGCGUGUAAUUUUUUUUUUCACUAAUACAACAAAGCUAAGCAAAAGAUCAUUGUAGCAAAAUCUCAGCAGCCAGGAUCUCAACACAGGGUCUCACAUUCCUACAACAGCAGGUGCAUUCCGCAUCAAGAAUGAGCUCUGUACACACAUAUUUGUAACCAAUUAUUUGCUUUAAAGGCACAAACAUUAUUAAAACAUAGCCAUUUUAUAAAUUUUGGAUAUUAAAUAAAAUUGGAUACCAAGUUAUUAAUUUGUAGUAUCAUUAAACAUUACACUUGCCCUUAAUGUUCUUCUGGAUAUUUCCAAGAAAUUAUACAGUCCAGAUUUGCUAAAUAAACUACUGAGAAAUCCAAACACAAAAUAAAACACAAAACAAUUUUCUAGUAACUCUCUGGACCAAUAGUUUCCUCUAGUCCCAGUAUUACCAUACAGAUAAGAGUUGAAACAUGAUGAGAUUUGCAGGUGUUAAGAAUAUUUUCCUUAAUGCAGAUAAUGUACAAUAGUUAACAAAAGCUUAUGUUUUAGACAUGUGUCCUCAUGGUCAGCAGCACAGUAUGUUGAUGCUGAGCUCAGAAGUAGAGAGAGAAGAAUGUGUUUUGUUAUACUUAAUGUUAGUCAAACCGAUAAACUUUUUAUGAACUGGUGAGUGAAAAAGAAAAUCGUAAUUUCUAAGACUUCACAUGAACACAUGAAGUAAAACUGAUAGCACAGAAAACAAACAAGAAACUCCUAGUACUCUUGUGAUUUCUAAAGUAAACGCUGCUACUGUGGGUGGCCAGCCACCUCACUUCAGCUCUAGGCUGCAAUCACACAGUCAUUAGAGUGCUGCACACUCAGAGCAAGCAAGUGGUUCUCAGUGCCGCUGGUAAAUCACCUGAUCCUAUUACAAAAUCAAUUACUGCAGUACAUUUCCACUGCCACAAUCUGAUGAUGACAAAAUGAUAUUGGAUAGCUACUGCAAGGUCAAGAAAACUGCUAAGAACAUCUUAAUUGGUCUUUUAUGUUUAAUCAUUUGGCCCAACUUAUAAUGCAGCCAUUUUAACUGUGUAUUCUUAUUUGAAAUAAAUCUAUGUAGUUACCUUUAGUUGCCUGGGACAUUCGAUGGAAAAUCUCUGCAACUGUUCUGAUGUAUAGCUACAAGGGAAAAGAUCGGAGCAGCAAGUCGAACGGUUCAACCUCUUCAUUAAAAAAGAAAUAAUGUUGCUGCAGCCACAGCCACACAUUGACUUGAUCAUUAAAAGAGAAUCUGGCUUUAAAAAAUCACAACUAGUAAUGUCCCAUAUAUACUAAAACUGGCUAACUGACUCAUUCUGCAGCUCUCUGGCUGAAAGAUACACCACUAAAAGCAAAUUAAAAACAAAUGAAAAACCAACUUUACUAUAGAAGAUAGCAGCCACAAACUCAUCACCAAGAAACUGUGAAAAGCAUAAGUCUCCAGGCUACUACACAAAGAAUGUAAAGUGCUUUAAUAUUUCAAUGUGUUUAUAUUAAAGCUCAAGAACUUAGCAAAGAAGCAAGCUCAAGACACCCCAAAACAUACUAACCACUCUUUCUGUCUUCCAUCAGUUUUGGAUCUGUUUGCCUACGCCUUCAGCUUAGCCUAUCCAACCUGUUCUCUCUGUAAAUGGACGCUUUUUCAACAGCCAACCGGAAAGAGCCCCACCCUCACUGUUCUACACUGUUGAAGAAAGCCUCAGGAUCUGGAGAGAACCGCUGCAGCACUGCUCUGAGAAACAGCGGGAGCAAAUCACUGGACAGCCUCUAGCUCACCACUCAGAACUGAGGACCUCUGACUCUACACUUAAGACGCCUGCCUGCCAAGCACGCACAUUCUAUGCAGGUGCCCACAAAGGCUAGAAGAGAACAUUGUAUCCCUUGGAACUGCAGUUACAGACUGCAGUGAGCUGCCUGAUGUGAGUGCUAGGAACCAAAGUCAUGUCUACUGGAAGAGCAGCAAGCGCUCGCUCGGAACCAUUGAGCCAACUCCAGCCUGAACUGUGUUUUGAAUGAAGUGAAGAAUGACGCAGAGCAGCAGAGCAUGCCCGGCUGUGGAGAGGAAGGGAGCCUAUCCCAGUAAGAAGGAAGACACUAAGGAACACCACGGAGUCCUGUCUUCCCUAGAAAGUGAGAACAAAACCUUCUGUAGAAAGAGACAUUGUGGGAGCCUACAGAGCCCAAAUGACUGAAUGGUUGUGAGGAUGCCUAUAUAAAUUACAUAAAUCUACACAGAAGUGGAUGCUCACAGUCAGCUAAUGGAUGGAUCACAGGGCUCCCAAUGGAGGAGCUAGAAAAAG